rnacentral:rRNA from 1 species
UACGGGGGGGGCAAGCGUUGUUCGGAAUUACUGGGCGUAAAGGGCUCGUAGGCGGCCAACUAAGUCCGACGUGAAAUCCCAAGGCUUAACCUUGGAACUGCGUCGGAUACUGGAUGGCUUGAAUUCGGGAGAGGGAUGCGGAAUUCCAGGUGUAGCGGUGAAAUGCGUAGAUAUCUGGAGGAACACCGGUGGCGAAGGCGGCAUCCUGGACCGAGAUUGACGCUGAGGCGCGAAAGCCAGGGGAGCAAACGGG